rnacentral:rRNA from 1 species
AAAUCAACCGAGAUUCCGCUAGUAGUGGCGAGCGAACGCGGAAGAGGCCAAACCGGAGGUAGCAAUAUUUCCGGGGUUAGGACUGCAAUAUGUAACUUUAAUCUUUAACUGAAUGCUUUGGGAAGAGCAGCAAUAUAGGGUGAUAGCCCCGUAAGUGAAAAGGAUUGAGUGCUAGCAGUAUCCAGAGUACCAGCGGACACGUGAAACCCGCUGGGAAGAUGGGGGGACCAUCCUCCAAGCCUAAAUACUACUCAGUGACCGAUAGUGGAGCAGUACCGUGAGGGAAAGGUGAAAAGUACCCCGGGAGGGGAGUGAAAAAGAACCUGAAACCUUGUGCCUACAAGCACCGAGAGUCCGUUAAUGGAUGAUCGGGUACUUUUUGUAGAACGGUCCGGCGAGUUAAUAUUUGCAGCGAGGUUAAGGAACUGGAGUUCCGGAGCCGCAGCGAGAGCGAGUCUGAAUAGGGCGUAUGAAGUUGCAGGUAUUAGACCCGAAACCGGGUGACCUAUCCAUGAGCAGGCUGAAGCGGUGGUAAGACACCGUGGAGGGCCGCACCCACGUCUGUUGAAAAAGCCGGGGAUGACUUGUGGAUAGCGGAGAAAUUCCAAUCGAACUCGGAGAUAGCUGGUUCUCCCCGAAAUAGCUUUAGGGCUAGCGUUAUCUUAGAUUACCGGAGGUAAAGCACUGAAUGGGCUAGGGGGCGAUAAGCUUACUGAACCCUAUCAAACUCUGAAUGCCGGAUAAUUGAUGGAUAGCAGUCAGACAGUGUGAGAUAAGUUUCAUUGUCAAAAGGGAAACAGCCCAGACCCACAGCUAAGGUCCCAAAGUACAGUUAAGUGGUGAAGGAUGUGGAAUUGCAUAGACAACCAGGAUGUUGGCUUAGAAGCAGCCACUCAUUAAAAGAGUGCGUAAUAGCUCACUGGUCGAGUGACUCUGCGCGGAAAAUGUAACGGGGCUAAGUAUACAACCGAAGCUUGGGAUUGUCUAAAGACAGUGGUAGGGGAGCGUCGUGUAUGGGGUGAAGUCGCAUCGGAAGGAGCGGUGGACUGUACACGAGUGAGAAUGCCGGAAUGAGUAGCGAGAAUUAUGUGGGAAUCAUAAUGGCCGAAAAUCUAAGGUUUCUUGGGGAAGGUUCGUCCGCCCAAGGUUAGUCGGGAGCUAAGCUCAGGCCGAAAGGCGUAGGCGAUGCACAUACGGUAGAAAUUCCGUAACCACCGAACAUUUAAGCUAGAGGGACGCUUUCAUUAAGUCUAUCCCGGGCGAUGGUUGCCCCGGGCGUAAGGGACCGAAAUUUAGUAGGGAAGUAGACGGCGUGAGAGACGAGAAAAGCUCUAGUGUAUACUAAGGUGCCCGUACCGCAAACCGACACAGGUAGAUGGGAUGAGUAUUCUAAGGCCAACGGGAGAAGGGUUGUUAAGGAACUCGGCAAAUUGGCCCCGUAACUUCGGGAUAAGGGGCGCCUGCGAGAGCAGGCCGCAGUGAAAAGGCCCAAGCGACUGUUUAGCAAAAACACAGCUCUCUGCUAAAUCGAAAGAUGACGUAUAGGGGGUGACGCCUGCCCGGUGCUGGAAGGUUAAGGGGAGUGCUUAGCGCAAGCGAAGGUGCGAACUUAAGCCCCAGUAAACGGCGGCCGUAACUAUAACGGUCCUAAGGUAGCGAAAUUCCUUGUCAGGUAAGUUCUGACCCGCACGAAUGGCGUAAUGA